rnacentral:lncRNA from 1 species
GGGCGCUGUUGUCCUAGCUGUUUAUGAAGUAUGGGCCAAGCUAUGGAUUUUUCUUGUUUCAGGACAAUAACUUGUGUAUAAGUGUAUGGAUCUCUAUGAAAUUUUAGCACAAGGUUCUAUACAUCAACAGGAAGCUUACGAUAGUUUUUUCGGGGACAUGAAGAAAACGUUUUAAAAAUUCGAGGCCACAAAAAUAAGAUUUUCUG